ACCCCUUCAGGUCAGUCGUUUCUUGCAGAAUUUACAGAUCUCUCAUCUUCUUUCAUGGCUUCCGCAUGCCGAAGAAUUGCGAGCAGAAUCUCUCAAUCUUCCUUUAGAACAGUUGUUCGUACAAAUUCUCCACCCAAAGCUUCAUCUUCUCCGUUCACUUUACCUUUCAAUUCCACUGCACCAUCUGUUCGCCGGUUCUCGCUCGCCAAGUCCCCGUCGGAGCUGGGAUGCGUGCAAUCUCUUUUGCCUUUUCACAACGCGGUUGCUGGAGCGAGAAUGAUUUCAUGUCUGAGUACAAAUUCGAGGAGUUGUCGUGCGCUUUCUCAGGGUACUCUCUGCUGCACCUCUCCCAGCCUCUAACAUGAAAUAUUGUACUUCCUUUUGAAGUGCACAUAAUAUCGAAUGUCUAUAUGCGAAUCGAUUAUGAUGCAUAAAGAAAUAGAUUGGAAGUUUAUGGAGCCUUCUGAUUAUGGUGCAGUGGAUCGAUUACAAAUGCAAUUGAUGGUACGUGAGACAUAUUUGCUGUUUUUGAAGAGCUGGGCUUAUCAGUUCCAAGGUGACUUCUUUGGGAUGAUUGUUGCAGUGUCAAGGGGAUGUCGGCCAUGGUGUUGUGGAUUUCAUUUACGUACUGUGAUCAUUACUGCUCAAUUUGGUUAACUAGUUUUGAUUCUUCCAGACGACAGAAUGUGUUGAAAUAAGAAUAUAGUGAUUCUAGUGCUUACCGGCAACUCAGGACAUCAUAUUUUCGCCUUUGUUGCCAUUGUUGUUUGAUAUUUGUCAUACAAUAGACAUCAUACUAUUUUCCUUUGUUUGUGGUAUAGUAUUUCUUGUAGACAAAUGGGGGCUGUUUUGCUUACUCCUAGACAAUAAGGCAUGCCAUAUUUUGUACUACGAGCUUAAGACAUUCUAACACGAAAGGUUUGUUGGGAAA